AAGGAAUUCAAUAUUCAUAAAGAAUUGUAGCAGGGGCUCACAGAUCUGUACAACCUCAAGGCAGGAAGAAUUCUCUGUUCUAGCCCUCCGCAAUAUCAGGUAACCAGGUCCAACUGCUGACAGCCCCACCUCCAAUCCAUAUCCUGGAAAGCAAACACUGGAAUGGGUAACCUGAAGUGCAUCGGACACAUCAUCACAAUGUUCAACUGAUGAGAUCAGUAGCAACAACAGAAUGUUACCCACCGUUGUUAUCAAGGAUUUCAUGGCAAGACAACAGGCUCUUAAAUGCUGAAUGUCUGGGAGACACAAUUCAUAUCUUCAUAGCCUUAAGCUACUGCAGAGGAGAGUCACUGACAAGAAGCGAGGCCAGCUUACACUACUCAUAAAUCUAAUUCUAGUCCCAAAACACAGUAUGACCUUAUUGCUGCAGCCGAUGAAAUGUUAAGUGUUAUCUAAUAAUCUACCAAGCAGCCCGAGACAGCCUUCUCUCCCGGCACUCCUUACAGAAGGCUCAUUGGGACCCUAUCCUCAUUCCUCUGCAUCUGUUUUGAGGACAUAGCUGGAUGAAAGCAGGAGAUGCUACGGCCUUCCAAGCAAAAUAAUCGAAGAGAUGCUCAGAUACCCCAUGCCACACUGCAACCAGUGCAGUUCUCUUGUGGGAGGAAGAGGGACAAGAUAUGAGCAACUGGACCCAAAUUCUACAGCCUAUAUCAUAGAGGCCUUCGAAAUGAGCCUGUGGAGGGAGAUGUAGCAGUAGCUGAGGUGGGAACAGGUGGACAUGCAAGAGAGCUGCCACAAAAGGGAAGGGAUCAACCUAACUGGAGGUCAGUAAAGCACUGAGGGUGCAGUAGCAGACAUGGAGAGACUGCUGCAGUUCAGAGGCAUAGGGAAAAGUGGAUUCAUUGCACUAAGCCUCAUUACCCUAAGAUGAAAGGAAAAGCAAAACAUUAAGUGGUAAAAGUAUUUUUUCUUGCCUUCAGAUAUAUCCUAGUGUGAAAGUCUCAAUUCUGACAUCUCCCAUUCCAAGCCCUUUAACCUUCAUUGCAUAUAUGCAUGUUAACACACGGCUCACAACUUCUUUAGAAAGCUCUAAUAUCUUUAAAGAUACAAGGUUGAACUUUGAAUUUUUCCUGAUGUUCUGCUACUUGCAAGUACUGUAACAAAUAACUAUUUAAGUUCUUCAGUAGUUUGUUUCCCAGAGGGCAAUAUGGCAUCAUUUUCCUUACAGUGUUUACGAUGCAAAUGUUUGGCUCAAUUGUGUGGAAGCAUAUUCAAAAACAUUACACAGUCAAAGUGCCUGAAGCCAGCAAGUACCUAAGAUGCACACUCCACCGAAUUUUGCUGAAAAGAUGACCAAGAUCACUGUGGUGGUUACACAGCACAUUUCAGGAGAAGUCAGUGUUAGAAACUUAGUCCCUACUUCCACAAGUAAAAUAGCAAAAUUUCUUUAUAUUUCAAGCAUCUCAGCAGCCCAAUCUAUACACAGAUAGGACCAGAAUCUAGGCCAUUUGGAUGCCUCUGAGUUCUUUGCUCAAAGUC